AGUAAAGCUCUCCUCAGCAAAUGUAAAAGAACAGAAAUUAUAACAAACUGUCUCUCAGACCACAGUGCAAUCAAACUAGAACUCAGGAUUAAGAAUCUCACUCAAAGCCGCUCAACUACAUGGAAACUGAACAACCUGCUCCUGAAUGACUACUGGGUACAUAACGAAAUGAAGGCAGAAAUAAAGAUGUUCUUUGAAACCAACGAGAACAAAGACACAACAUACCAGAAUCUCUGGGACGCAUUCAAAGCAGUGUGUAGAGGGAAAUUUAUAGCACUAAAUGCGCACAAGAGAAAGCAGGAAAGAUCCAAAAUUGACACCCUAACAUCACAAUUAAAAGAACUAGAAAAGCAAGAGCAAACACAUUCAAAAGCUAGCAGAAGGCAUGAAAUAACUAAAAUCAGAGCAGAACUGAAGGAAAUAGAGACACAAAAAACCCUUCAAAAAAUCAAUGAAUCCAGGAGCUGGUUUUUUGAAAGGAUCAACAAAAUUGAUAGACUGCUAGCAAGACUAAUAAAGAAAAAAAGAGAGAAGAAUCAAAUAGACACAAUAAAAAAUGAUAAAGGGGAUAUCACCACUGAUCCCACAGAAAUACAAACUACCAUCAGAGAAUACUACAAACACCUCUACGCAAAUAAACUAGAAAAUCUAGAAGAAAUGGAUAACUUCCUCGACACAUACACCCUCCCAAGACUAAACCAGGAAGAAGUUGAAUCUCUGAAUAGACCAAUAACAGGAGCUGAAAUUGGGGCAAUAAUCAAUAGUUUACCAACCAAAAAGAGUCCAGGACCAGAUGGAUUCACAGCCGAAUUCUACCAGAGGUACACAGAGGAACUGGUACCAUUCCUUCUGAAACUAUUCCAAUCAAUAGAAAAAGAGGGAAUCCUCCCUAACUCAUUUUAUGAGGCCAGCAUCAUUCUGAUACCAAAGCCGGGCAGAGACACAACCAAAAAAGAGAAUUUUAGACCAAUAUCCUUGAUGAACAUUGAUGCAAAAAUCCUCAAUAAAAUACUGGCAAACCGAAUCCAGCAGCACAUCAAAAAGCUUAUCCACCAUGACCAAGUGGGCUUCAUCCCUGGGAUGCAAGGCUGGUUCAAUAUACGCAAAUCAAUAAAUGUAAUCCAGCAUAUAAACAGAGCCAAAGACAAAA
rnacentral:lncRNA from 1 species